rnacentral:rRNA from 1 species
UGAAACUCGCCUACAUGAAGCUGGAGUUACUAGUAAUCGCAGAUCAGAAUGCUGCGGUGAAUGCGUUCCCGGGUCUUGUACACACCGCCCGUCACACCACGGAAGUUGGGGGCGCCCGAAGCCACUUAGCUAACCCUUUUGGGAAGCGAGUGUCGAAGGUGAAAUCAAUAACUGGGGUGAAGUCGUAACAAGGUAUC